ACGGAAGGCAGCAGUGGGGAAUUUUGCGCAAUGGGGGGAACCCUGACGCAGCAACGCCGCGUGCGGGAUGAAGGCCUUCGGGUUGUAAACCGCUUUCAGCAGGGACGAUUAUGACGGUACCUGCAGAAGAAGCUCCGGCUAACUACGUGCCAGCAGCCGCGGUAAUACGUAGGGAGCGAGCGUUAUCCGGAUUCAUUGGGCGUAAAGCGCGCGUAGGCGGCUUGCUAAGCGGAACCUCUAAUCCGAGGGCUCAACCCCCGGCCGGGUUCCGAACUGGCAGGCUCGAGUGCGGGAGGGGCAAGUGGAAUUCCAUGUGUAGCGGUGGAAUGCGCAGAUAUAUGGAAGAACACCGAUGGCGAAGGCAGCUUGCUGGGCCGACACUGACGCUGAGGUGCGAAAGCGUGGGGAGCGAACAGGAUUAGAUACCCUGGUA
rnacentral:rRNA from 1 species